GACGAACGCUGGCGGCGUGCUUAACACAUGCAAGUCGAACGAUGAAGAAGAGAAACGCGAACUUCGGUUCAAAUUUCACUUCGGAUUAGUGGCAGACGGGUGAGUAACGCGUGAGCAACCUACCUCUUACAAAGGGAUAGCCUCGGGAAACCGUGAUUAAUACCAUAUGACACAUUCAUAAGGCAUCUUAAGAAUGUUAAAGCUACGGCGGUAAGAGAUGGGCUCGCGUCCCAUUAGCUAGUUGGUGAGGUAACGGCCCACCAAGGCGACGAUGGGUAACCGGCCUGAGAGGGUGAACGGUCCCAUUGGAACUGCGACACGGUCCAAACUCCUACGGGAGGCAGCAGUGGGGAAUAUUGCACAAUGGAGGGAACUCUGAUGCCGCGACGCCGCGUGAGCGAUGAAGGAAUUCGUUUCGUAAAGCUCUGUUCGAGGGGAAGAAAAGGACUGUACCAUAGGAGAAAGCCCCGGCUAAAUACGU
rnacentral:rRNA from 1 species